rnacentral:rRNA from 1 species
GAUGAACGCUGACAGACUGCUUAACACAUGCAAGUCGACUCGAGUAUUCGGACUUGGGUGGCGCACGGGUGAGUAACGCGUAAAGAACUUGCCUCUUAGACCGGGACAACAUCUGGAAACGGAUGCUAAUACCGGAUAUUAUGGUUUUUUCGCAUGGAGGAAUCAUGAAAGCUAGAUGCGCUAAGAGAGAGCUAUGCGUCCCAUUAGCUAGUUGGUGAGGUAACGGCCCACCAAGGCAAUGAUGGGUAGCCGGCCUGAGAGGGUGAACGGCCACAAGGGGACUGAGACACGGCCCUUACUCCUACGGGAGGCAGCAGUGGGGAAUAUUGGACAAUGGACCACAAGUCUGAUCCAGCAAUUCUGUGUGCACGAUGACGUUUUUCGGAAUGUAAAGUGCUUUCAGUCGGGAAGAAGUCAGUGACGGUACCGACAGAAGAAGCGACGGCUAAAUACGUGCCAGCAGCCGCGGUAAUACGUAUGUCGCAAGCGUUAUCCGGAUUUAUUGGGCGUAAAGCGCGUCUAGGCGGCAAGGAAAGUCUGAUGUGAAAAUGCGGAGCUCAACUCCGUAUGGCGUUGGAAACUGCCUUACUAGAGUACGGAGAGGUAGGCGGAACUACAAGUGUAGAGGUGAAAUUCGUAGAUAUUUGUAGGAAUGCCGAUGGGGAAGCCAGCCUACUGGACAGAUACUGACGCUAAAGCGCGAAAGCGUGGGUAGCAAACAGG